CCAGCAACCGAAAGGCAGAGCUCUUGCUUAUUUUACCUUUUAGCUACUGGUUUCAGCUUCUCCUUCUGUUUCCUUGGAAACAGGCAUUGAACAAGGAAAACAAGGAUUGGGUUCUACGUUUUCCAAGAGGCCACUGGCUGGACUGGAUGGACUACCCAGGUAUAAACUGAAAAUUUGAAACAUCAUUUUUUAUGAUAAAACAAGAGAACCACCAGAGA